AGAGACCGUAACUUAUAGUAAAGAGGAUGAGUAUAAACUUGAAAUGCUCUAAACAGGAACCUGUCACAAAGAAAUUGACGUCUGAGGUGCAGGGGGGCUUCAGAACAUUCCACCUGCAAAGCGUUAAUAGGGCUCGACCGCAUAGCUCCCGCAAUUAUUCUCAGAGCCUUAGACUGGAUAAUGUCUAACUUAUGGAGAGCUACUGCAUUACAGGGUUCAAGUAUAAAUGUUCCAUAGUCUAAAAUGCUUCUUAUUAGAGCAUUAUAUAGAAGCUUUAGAGAGAAAGGAUUGGCUCCCCACCAAACUCCAGAGAGACAACGCAGUAUGUUUAUAAUCUUCUCACAUUUGGCACUUAUAUAGUAGCAAUGAGGGCUUCCUGUAAGUCUUGAGUCUAAAAUUACCCCAAGAAAUGUUGCUUCACUUUUAGUGGGAAUUCUAAUGUUAUUAUAAAAUACAGAUACUGCUGGAGGAAGUCUCAUACGUGAGAAUAAGACUAUAAUACUUUUAGGAACCGAAAGGCUUAAAGUGUUAUUGUCAAGCCAGACUUUUAAUAACUUAAGGGAAGGUGUCAUAGUAUCAGACAUGUUGUCUACAGAAUCACCAGACACAUAGAGGAGUAAAUCAUCUGCAUAUUGGAGUGUGUUAACUUUACCCUUAAGGGAGGCUUCCAGAUCAUGAGAAUAUAUAUUGUAAAGUAAAGGACUUAAAACUGAGCCCUGAGGUAAACCUUUCCAGGCAAUACGGGAUUGAAUUGAAAGGUUGACAUUAUCAUAGGCUGCCGACACAUCUAAGAAUGCCGCUAACACAGACUUAUUGUAAGAAAAUGCCAAUCUUAAGUCUGUCAUAAAAAUACUGAGACUAUCCAUUGUACUCCUGCCUUUCCUAAAUCCAAACUGGUUUGGUGAUAGUAACCCCUUACUCUCAAUAAACCAUUCUAGUCUAGUUUUAAUUAAAUGUUCAGAAAUUUUGGACAUAACUGGAGCUAAUGCAAUUGGUCUGUAUGAUGAUGGAUCAUUAAUCGGUUUGUUGGGCUUGUGUAUUGGGAUAACUUCAUGGAUUUUCCAUGAUGGAGGAAUAUUACCUGAUGUUAAGAUUGAAUUAAUUAAAU